rnacentral:misc_RNA from 1 species
GAAAUGCGAUAAGUAGUGUGAAUUGCAGAAUUCAGUGAAUCAUCGAAUCUUUGAACGCACAUUGCGCCCUUUGGUAUUCCAAAGGGCAUGCCUGUUCGAGCGUCAUUUGUACCCUCAAGCUUUGCUUGGUGUUGGGCGUCUUGUCUCUAGCUUUGCUGGAGACUCGCCUUAAAGUAAUUGGCAGCCGGCCUACUGGUUUCGGAGCGCAGCACAAGUCGCACUCUCUAACAGCAAAGGUCUAGCAUCCAUUAAGCCUUUUUUCAACUUUUGACCUCGGAUCAGGUAGGGAUACCCGCUGAACUUAAGC